AUCCCAUAGUUAACUAUAGCCAGUACAGCUAUAACAUGGAGGACACGACUGAGGAUCCAGAUGAAUCUAGUUCAGGUACAGUCUCUGAAGCCACCUCCAGUGAAAAGUCAUCUGAGAGCUCAAAUGCAGGAGAAGGAAGGGCCAGAAGCCAGAAACAAAGGUUUCGUCGUCCAGCGAAAGGCACCGCACAUGAAAACCUGCCCGAUAUAAUGAACACAGUUCAAUCUGUGCUUGAAGAAAACUCAGAAGACAAGAAGAAAGGAAGAAAACGCACCAUAUUGGUCUUUUACUACCGGCAGAAUGGUAAAAAGAAACAAAAUCAAAAAAAGAAGAAAGAACAGGUACCAAAAAGAUCUCAGAAUUCAAAUAGUGACUCACCUCUACCUGGAACAUCCCAAGACCCAGGACCCUCUCCAUGUUCUCUUCCAAAACGAGUGCGAAAGUGGUUUUUUCAGUAGAGACCGGUCACUUCACCCAUACAUGAAAAAUGUUUGGGCAUUGUUGAUUACACUGUAAUAAAAUACCUUGUGGAAAUGAAAAACAAAUCUUG